AGACCAGUCAAACCCAGGAGACAAGCAGGAGGCCUGUGCUUCCCCAGCCGUUCUGUCUGCAUUAGCCACUCUUGCUCUGGCUCCAUCGACCUGUCAGAGCCAUCACAGUGAUUGACUGCCCCGGCAGAUGUGCUGCUAUAACAGGUAACUUGAUCAUCCAGACCCAUCUGUCUCUAAGUCCUCUUCAAUUCACACUUUGAAAAAUAUUAGAGGUUGGGAGGGGUGGAAUUCUUUGUUGUGAUUUUUUUCUUUUAAAAAGUAGGCAAUCUGUAUUUCACAGAGAGGUUAUCCUCCAGUAACUGAAUGGGAAUAUAGUGCUUUUGAGUUCUUUAUUGAUAUGAGCUUCUUCCAGGGUAUAUUACUAUCAACAUUUUAAAUUGGCCAACAAGAUCUGGGAGCUUUGAAAACCUGGUUUCCAAAACACAAUCUAAAGUUAAGAAGCAAAUUUUAAAGAACAACCGUGAUAAUAAUAGAGUGAUGUUUCAAAGAUAAGUUUCCCGUAUGAGUGAGACAGAUGGGCUGGUUGUGUAUAGAGAGGAAAGGAAUCUCAAACAGCAAGAACAGCCCAGUGUCUUCUCUUCAGUACCUAUAGCCUGGCAAAUAUUGUGACAUCAUUAAGUUGAAUUGCCUAUUUCAGAUGGGUCUGGAAUGAGAAUGGGCGAGUCAAGUCAAGUGUCACUCUAAUAUACAGGGAAUUAAUGGUCCAGUGUCACAAUUUCUGAUAAUUACGUUUUACCAAAAUAUUUUGCUGUGCUUGUGUGCAGAACAUUUCACUCUACAAGUCAACACCAACAGUGCAACACUGGACAGGGCCUCUUCAUAGCUUCUGUUAAGGGAGAAUAUGGUCUUGAGGAGAUCAAUCACUGACAGGUUUCUAUUUCUCAGUAAAGUCUAUUGCUGCCUAACCAUCAAGGGAUGAACAUGGGUUGAGAAUGACAUCUAAGGAAAAGUACCAUAUCAAAGACAUGGAGCACGGAAGACUGAAAGGCCACUGACAAGCAAGCGAGUGAACUGAUUUUUCAAAUAAAAGAAAUAAAUAUACCAAUUAGUCUCAUAAUGCUAUUUGCAGAAUCUAAAAACACAAUGGAAGAUAAAGAUUAGAUACAGAGAGUCUUUGUUUUUCAAUGCUUUGGCUUGUUUCACAAGCUAUCUACACUCAGACAAAUUUAUUUAUUUAUUUAUGAAGUUGGGAUAUACCAGGACUCAUUAUUUUCCCAAUUUCAAAAUAAUUUUGGAAUAAAUAAAUUCCCCAAAGUUCUUUUUCAUGGCCAAGUUAUUUAAAUGAGUUCUGUUCAUAAUUUGUCAUUUUAUUUACGGGCCAAAUUCCAUAAUUUUUAUGAAAAUGAACAAUAUUUAGUCUUCACAAGUUUGGAAGAGAUAGAAUUCUCAGUUUUAAUUUCUCAGUGAAUAUUCUUUCUCUUUUUCUGUGACCUCAGGGAGGUUCUAUUUUGCCCUUGGUCACCCUUGAACGGUGGAGUGUGUAGUCAUCAUUUGUUUGGAAUAAAGCUGUUGAAUGUGGUGGAGUUUA
rnacentral:lncRNA from 1 species